GCGGGUGUAGCUCAAUGGUAGAGCGCGACAUUGCCAAUGUUGAUACGGGGGUCCGAUUCCCCUCACUCGCUCAA
rnacentral:tRNA from 1 species